rnacentral:misc_RNA from 1 species
GACCCUCUUAUGUGCUCGGCGGCCGAGGCAUGAUCAUCGUCGCCGACGAACCGUCGCUGAAAUCGGCGCUGAAAUCGGGCGAGUUGUUCCGCAUCUCCGGCGUCAAUCCGGUGCUGAUCGACGGCUUCCUGCACCACGCGAUCGAGAUCGACGUGGACGCGAUCUGCGAUUGUGAUGGGCAAGUGUUCAUCGCAGGGAUCAUGGAGCACAUCGAAGAGGCCGGCAUCCACUCCGGCGAUUCGGCGUGCGCGCUGCCGCCGCAUUCGAUCAACGCGGCAACGAUCGCGGAGAUCGAACGGCAGACGAUCGCACUCGCGCGUGCCCUCAAUGUGCGUGGAUUGAUGAACGUGCAAUACGCGAUUCAGAGCGGCGAAAUUUUCGUGCUCGAGGUCAAUCCGCGGGCGUCGCGCACCGUGCCGUUCGUGGCGAAGGCGAUCGGCCUGCCGGUUGCGGGGAUCGCGUCGCGCGUGAUGGCCGGCGAGCGGCUCUCUUCGUUCUCGCUCAAGCCGUCGAGGAAGCCGCAUAUCGCGGUGAAGGAAGCGGUGCUGCCGUUCGCGCGGUUCCCCGGCGUCGACACGAUCCUCGGCCCGGAAAUGAAAUCGACCGGAGAAGUCAUGGGGCUCGAUUCCGAUUUCGGCCGGGCGUUUGCGAAAGCCCAGAUCGCCGGCGGCAACAAGCUGCCAAUGGCCGGGACCGUGUUCAUCUCGGUCAAGGAUGCGGACAAGGAGUUCGCCGCCGAUCCUGCGGCCCAUCUCAUUGGCAUGGGUUUCGAGAUCGUGGCGACGCGAGGGACUGCGAAAUAUCUACAAGCGGCCGGGCUUCCGGUCCGCCUGAUCAACAAGGUGCUGGAGGGCCGCCCGCACAUCGUGGACGCGAUGAAGAACGGGGAAAUUUCGCUUGUGUUCAACACCACGGACGGGGCCCAGGCGCUCACCGACUCGGCGUCGAUCCGCAAGACCGCGCUGGCGCUGAAGAUUCCCUAUUGCACGACCAUGGCGGGCGCUGCGGCCGUCACGCAAGCCAUUGAAUCGCUUAAGUCCGGGUCCCUUGAAGUCGCCCCCCUCCAGUCCUAUUCUUGAAGGCUGGUCUAGAGGGCCCGGGAGGGACCCGCCGGAAACGGUGACCAAUUCUCAAGCGUUGGUAUCUAGCGUUCCGGACCGGUCCAGCCAUGGACAUAGCCGGCCGGAGCCAGGAAGUUCUGUCGAAUCAAGGUGGAGAGGAUGGACCGCAUUCCGAUGACCGCCUCGGGCUAUAAGGCCCUUGAGGA